rnacentral:rRNA from 1 species
GUGGGGAAUAUUGGACAAUGGGCGAAAGCCUGAUCCAGCCAUGCCGCGUGAACGAUGAAGGCCUUAGGGUUGUAAAGUUCUUUUGUCAGGGAAGAUAAUGACGGUACCUGAAGAAUAAGCACCGGCUAACUUCGUGCCAGCAGCCGCGGUAAUACGAAGGGUGCUAGCGUUGUUCGGAAUCACUGGGCGUAAAGCGCGCGUAGGCGGCGAUACAAGUCAGAGGUGAAAGCCUGGAGCUCAACUCCAGAACUGCCUUUGAAACUGUAUUGCUAGAGUGUCGGAGGGGAUAGCGGAAUUGCUAAUGUAGAGGUGAAAUUCGUAGAUAUUAGCAGGAACACCGGUGGCGAAGGCGGCUAUCUGGACGACAACUGACGCUGAGGCGCGAAAGCGUGGGGAUCAAACAGGAUUAGAUACCCUAGUAGUCC